GUGCUUUGGCAGCACAUACACUAAAAUUGAAAUGAUACAGAGAAGAUUAGCAUGGCCCCUGUGCAAGGAUGACAUGCAAAUUCAUGAAGUAUUCCAUAUUUUU